UACGGAGGGUGCGAGCGUUGUCCGGAAUCAUUGGGCGUAAAGAGCGCGCAGGCGGCCGAGUAAGUCGAAUGUGAAAGCCCCCGGCUCAACUGGGGAAGGUCAUUCGAUACUGUUCGGCUCGAAGAUAGGAGAGGGAAGCGGAAUUUCAGGUGUAGUGGUGAAAUGCGUAGAUAUCUGAAGGAACACCAGUGGCGAAGGCGGCUCACUGGUCCGGUACUGACGCUGAGGUGCGAAAGCGUGGGGAGCAAACAGG
rnacentral:rRNA from 1 species